CCAAGCGUGUCAGUCGUAAUUCGAAAAAAAAAAAAAUAAAAUCAAAAAGGAUUUACUAAAGUUGAAAAAAGCCCAAUUACCGUUGAGAAAUAAAGUCCUACAAUCAAAGCUCUAAAAUGGAUCAGUCGUCAACCCACCAUCGAAAUGGUAAAGGCACCCGUGCUGAGUUAGAGAAGGCAGCGGCAGAUUUGGAAAAGGAAAAACUAAUUGCAGAGAUCCAAAUAGAACGAAUGGUUCUUCUUGCUCGUCACAAUCAGGAAUUGGACAAGACCAAUUUUGUAUUUGCCGCUUUCAAUCAUUUUGUAUAUGAAAACAAUACGGGGAUUCAUUCACCCGCCGAAUUUUCGGCGUGUGAAUUCGCCCUACAUUACGGAAAGAUGUCUAUCCUCAGCACUUUGAUCAAUCCGGGUGAGUUAUGCUUAGGGCAAGCAUUUAAGGCCAUGCAUCAUUCGAACAACACCCAUCAAUUGCCUUUGCCACCUAAUGCCGAGGGUGAAUCUAUGAGCAAAGUUUAUAGAGAUAUUAUAAAAUACUUAAAAAAUUGCUUAAAUGGAAAGCCUCUGAUCGUGUUCACGCCCACCCAAGAAGUGGCCAUAGUAAAGUCAUGCUUUGACUAUAUGCAAACUGCAUGUGAACUUGAUUAUACGGACGACAGCGAUGAUGAAGAUGGAAAAAAGGAUCCCUUACCACCCAUUCUCGUUUAUGACAUCCAAUACCUAUUCUUCUAUUUAAAGAAGGAGACUAUGGGAAUGAUGGGUCAACCAAAUGAAGGCAUCAAACAUGAUGUAACUAAUACAAUCUUUUUGCGUGAUUUUUUUGAGUUUGAAGAGAGAAUUGCUUGCCAAUUCCAUGAGGAAAUCGAUCGCUCCAGAUACUGCACUCGCAGUCAGGUAGUCCGCUGGGUCUACACCUUUUGUGAUUAUAUGUGCAAAGAUUUGGGCAUUACCAUGGAACCUGGCAAACAUGCUCCGUCCUUUAAGCCACUCGACACCUCAUCCGAUUGACUUUGUUAGCACAACGGAAAGAAAUCCAAGUUCCACUCUUAAAAAAUCGAUCACAAAUGAAUAUUAAAACGGAAGUCUACACAAUGCAACUUAUUGUCAACUUAUGCCCUUGUAUCAAGGGAGAUUAUACAAGAGAUUAAAAGCCGUACUAACCAGCUAAGCAGCAUAUAUUAUCAGACUCCAAUCUAGAUGCAACCAAACAAAGCAGCAUCCUUUAUGAAUGAAUUUUCGCGGGUGCACGUUUCAGUUUUGAAAAUUAAAUUUAAUGCAACCUGUAAUAAAUUUUCAUGGCUCAAGCUUCCGGCCGUGCGGCACCAUCAACCAACCCUUUGAUUGCUGAUUUAACUUAUUUAAAGUGGUUUCAAACAUUUAAAAAAAUAUUGAAUAUUUUAACCAUAUUUUUGCAAAAAAAAAGUCAAUGCAAAAAUUGUCAAUAAAUUUAGCUUUCAAGGAUUUAAUGCUGAUUGAAAUAAAGUCAUUCUUAUUGAAAAUAAAGUCAUCUCCUUUUUACAUCAAA